CCUAAUUAUGCGAACAACUUGAAGCCUGUGACACUGAAGAUCAUAUUGCGUUUGAGCAUCGUCACCGACAAUAUUCCGAGUCGCAAGCACGACAUAUAGAGAUUGAGAAUGAUUUACCUGAGCUUGAGCAAGGAAAGAGACAGUGAGAUGAACCAAUUGGACGAGAUUGAGAACGAGAACGGCAGUGAUAAAGAAUAACGAAACUGAGAGUGAAGUAGAUGAAGGAGAGAGUGUGGAGAAGAAGAAUGAGACUUACCUGGAUUUGAACAAAGAACAAGAUAGUGAGACGAACCAAUUGAAUGAGACUGAGAGUGAAAUCAAGAACAAGCAAUACUGAGAAAGAGGAACGAGAUUGAGAUUGAGAGUGAAUAGGAAGGAAACAAAGAGUGGAGUGAAGGAAGGUUGCGACUGAAGAAGAAGAAGAAGAAGA
rnacentral:lncRNA from 1 species